GACGUAGGGCGCGAGCGUUGUCCGGAUUUAUUGGGCGUAAAGAGCUCGUAGGCGGCCAGGUAGGUCUGCUGUGAAAACUCGAGGCUUAACCUCGAGCUGUCGGCGGAAACCAUCUGGCUAGAGUCCGGAAGAGGAGAAUGGAAUUCCCGGUGUAGCGGUGAAAUGCGCAGAUAUCGGGAAGAACACCCGUGGCGAAGGCGGUUCUCUGGGACGGUACUGACGCUGAGACGCGAAAGCGUGGGGAGCGAACAGG
rnacentral:rRNA from 1 species